rnacentral:lncRNA from 1 species
CCCUUUCCCUGUACAACUGACUAGGUAUCUCCCCCCCUUUCCCUAUACAACUGACUAGGUAUCCCCCCUUUCCCUAUACAACUGGCUAGGUAUCCCCCCUUUCCCUGUACAACUGACUAGGUAUCCCCCCUUUCCCUGUACAACUGACUAGGUAUCCCUCCUUUCCCUAUACAACUGACUAGGUAUCCCCCCUUUCCCUAUACAACUGGCUAGGUACCCCCCCUUUCCCUGUACAACUGACUAGGUAUCCCCCUUUCCCUGUACAACUGACUAGGUAUCCCCCUUUCCCACUGACUAGGUAUCCCCCCUUUCCCUGUACAACUGACUAGGUAUCCCCCCUUUCCCUGUACAACUGACUAGGUACCCCCC